rnacentral:rRNA from 1 species
CCUACGGGGUGCUGCAGUGGGGAAUAUUGGACAAUGGGCGAAAGCCUGAUCCAGCCAUGCCGCGUGUGUGAAGAAGGCCUUCGGGUUGUAAAGCACUUUCAGUGGGGAAGAAAGCCUUGGGGCUAAUACCCUCGAGGAAGGACAUCACCCACAGAAGAAGCACCGGCUAACUCCGUGCCAGCAGCCGCGGUAAUACGGAGGGUGCGAGCGUUAAUCGGAAUUACUGGGCGUAAAGCGCGCGUAGGCGGUCUGAUAAGCCGGUUGUGAAAGCCCCGGGCUCAACCUGGGAACGGCAUCCGGAACUGUCAGGCUAGAGUGCAGGAGAGGAAGGUAGAAUUCCCGGUGUAGCGGUGAAAUGCGUAGAGAUCGGGAGGAAUACCAGUGGCGAAGGCGGCCUUCUGGACUGACACUGACGCUGAGGUGCGAAAGCGUAGGUAGCAAACAGGAUUAGAUACCCCGGUAGUC